rnacentral:rRNA from 1 species
GAUGAACGCUGGCGGCGUGCCUAAUACAUGCAAGUCGAGCGAACAGAUGAGGAGCUUGCUCCUCUGACGUUAGCGGCGGAAGGGUGAGUAACACGUGGAUAACCUACCUAUAAGACUGGGAUAACUUCGGGAAACCGGAGCUAAUACCGUAUAAUAUAUUGCACCGCAUGGUUCAAUAGUGAAAGACGGUUUUGCUGUCACUUAUAGAUGGAUCCGCGCCGCAUUAGCUAGUUGGUAAGGUAACGGCUUACCAAGGCAACGAUGCGUAGCCGGCCUGAGAGGGUGUUCGACAACACGGGAAGCGAGACACGGUCCAGACUCCUGGGGGAAGCAGCAGUAGGGACACGUCCGCAAUGGGCGAAAGAAUGAAGGGGCAACGGAGCGUGAGUGGUGAAGUGCUGCGGAACGUAAAACUGGGUGAUUAGGGAAGAACAGAUGUGGAAGUAACUAUGCAGGUCUAGACGGUACCUAAUCAGAUAGCCACGGCUAACUACGUG